rnacentral:tRNA from 1 species
AAGACAUUAGUAAAAUGCAAAUUACACUACCUUGUCAAGGUAGAAUUGCAGGUUAAAUUCCUGCAUGUCUUA